CUUAAACCAACUCCUCUUUCUCCUGCAGCCAAAGGUGCGGCGAAAUCUAGCACCGAUCUCUGCGACGUCUUCUCUUUCAGCAGUCCGGGCCUUGAGAGAAUCAACAGCCGGCUAGCCAUCAUCGGGCUCGCCGCGGCGAUGUGAAUGGAACUGGCCAACAGCGUGCCUCUUAUGCCGCACUACUCUCCGUCCAAACCUCAAUUAUAGCUACAGGUUGAGAGUCUCCGUUGGAGAAAAUUAAGCCACCCUUUGAAGAUUCCAUAGUCGGAAUCAGUAGUCACUCCGUUCGCAAGCUGACGCUUGGCGAUUAGGUGUUUGACAAAAUGUCGGAACAACCCAGAGAUGAAGUGUAAAUUUUUUAUGCAAAGGGUACGCAGCCUCUGAUUUCUGCCUAGUAUUCUUCAGAAGCGACAGCUAGGAAAUAAAAAUGGAAUUAUCCUCUUUGUCGAAGUUUGGUUCACAAGCUCAAGGAUGGAUGCUUAUCAUUUUUGGGUCCAUUUCAUUUUUGCUAUUUGUAUAUGCUGCUGCUUUUUCCAAGUUUCUUCCAGGUUCUGGUAAUCCUAUAAUAGCAGCCAUUCAAAAUGACAGAUACUACUGCUUUUUGGUUCCUUUAACACUUCCUCUCCUUCUUGUUGCUGUAUAUUUUCAUUGGCUCAGCAUGAAUCUCUUUAAGCACGCCUAAUGUGUGAGCAAGUUACCAACCAAAUGAGCCAUCUGCCUACUGUAAGGGUGAUUAUGUAAACCAUUUUAGCUGGUUGAGGAUAAUCGCAGUCAUAGUU